GGACGGAAGUCUGAUGCAGCGACGCCGCGUGGAUGAUGAAGGCCCUCGGGUCGUANAAUCCUUUUCAGGGGGAAGAGAAAGGACGGUACCCUUGGAAUAAGCGUCGGCUAACUACGCGCCAGCAGCCGCGGUAAGACGUAGGACGCAAGCGUUAUCCGGAUUUACUGGGCGUAAAGCGUCUGUAGGCGGAUCGAUAAGUUGGGCGUGAAAGCUCCGUGCUUAACGCGGAGAGGUCGUUCAAGACUGUCGAACUAGAGGGCAUCAGAGGAGCAUGGAAUUUCCGGUGUAGCGGUAAAAUGCGCAGAUAUCGGAAGGAACACCAGUGGCGAAGGCGGUGCUCUGGGGUGUACCUGACGCUGAGAGACGAAAGCUAGGGGAGCGAACAGGAUUAGAGACCCUGGUAGUCCUAGCCCUAAACGAUGGAUGCUAGAUGUGGGGUCGAGAAGACUCUGUGUCGCAGUUAACGCGCUAAGCAUCCCGCCUGGGGAUUACGGCCGCAAGGCUAAAACUCAAACGAAUUGACGGGGCCCCGCACAAGCAGCGGAGCGUGUGGUUUAAUUCGAUGCUACACGAAGAACCUUACCUGGGUUUGACAUGUAGGUGGUAGAGAAGCGAAAGCGGAUCGACCCUUCGGGGAGCCUACACAGGUGCUGCAUGGCUGUCGUCAGCUCGUGCCGUGAGGUGUCGGGUUAAGUCCCAUAACGAGCGCAACCCUUGCCCUUAGUUACAAGUGACUAAGGGGACUGCCGGCGGUAAGCCGGAGGAAGGUGGGGAUGACGUCAAGUCAGCAUGGCCCUUAUAUCCAGGGCUACACACACGCUACAAUGGUCAGUACAAAGGGCAGCGAAGCCGCGAGGUGAAGCGAAUCCCAACAAGGCUGAUCUAAGUUCGGAUUGCAGGCUGCAACUCGCCUGCAUGAAGCUGGAGUUGCUAGUAACCGCGCGUCAGCUAUAGUGCGGUGAAUACGUUCCCGGGGCUUGUACACACCGCCCGUCACGUCAUGGGAGUCGGUAACGCCUGAAGCUGGGAGUCUGGCCC
rnacentral:rRNA from 1 species